GGCAGUUUGGUUUAAUGGUAAAACACUAAACACGUAAUCACAGAGAUGUGAGUUCGAGUCUCAUGGCUGGCC
rnacentral:tRNA from 1 species